rnacentral:rRNA from 1 species
GGGGAAUAUUGCGCAAUGGGGGCAACCCUGACGCAGCAAUACCGCGUGAGUGAAGAAGGUUUUCGGAUCGUAAAGCUCUGUUAUUGGGGAAGAAAAAAAGACGGUACCCAAGAAGAAAGUUCCGGCUAACUACGUGCCAGCAGCCGCGGUAAUACGUAGGGAACAAGCGUUGUCCGGAUUUACUGGGCGUAAAGGGCACGCAGGCGGUUUCUUAAGUCAGAUGUGAAAGGCCACAGCUCAACUGUGGACAUGCAUUUGAAACUGAGAGACUUGAGUAUUGGAGAGGCAAGUGGAAUUCCUAGUGUAGCGGUGAAAUGCGUAGAUAUUAGGAGGAACACCGGUGGCGAAGGCGGCUUGCUGGACAAAUACUGACGCUGAGGUGCGAAAGCGUGGGGAGCAAAC